GUAAAUAUUCUAAAUCGUGGUGGACAACGGAUCUUAUAAAAUGCAACGAAAAUCUUUCAUUUAACUAUAAACAAUGGCAAAAAUCUAAUUAUAACAAAACACAAGAAUGCAUUGAAUACAAAAGAUGAACAUUUAACAUUAUUAUCCAUAGAUAAAAGAUAAUCCUUGCACGUAAAAACUUUUGUAAAUCGGUUAAAGCAGUUCAUAACAAAAUGAUCCACGAAAAAACAAUAUUGAAAAUCUUCAAACUACAAACCCUCAGAAGUUGUGAGAUAACAUUUGUAAAUUCAAAACUAAAGAAAAGUUCCAGUAUUGGAAUUUGAAAGAAAAGAGAUAGUCGUUUAAAAUUUUAAUAGAGAGAAAUGUUUUAAGAAGUCUUAUCGAAUAAUUUGCGGAAAACACACCGCUUGGUAAUCAACAUUUAAUGCUAACAACUGUGAGAGCCGUGUCGUUUUAGCUGAUUUUAAUUUAAGAGCACGUUUUGUAGCAUUUUUUUGGUAUUUGAUCUACACAAAUAUGCCGAAGAUACUUCUACUGGUCAUUUUAGCAAAGAAGAUCAGAUCAGAUACCAUCAAGAAGUUCAGAUCAGGCUUUGACUUUAUAAAACAUUUUUAAAUUUUAUGUGAAACUAUUAACUACAUUUAUAAAAAAGAAAUCAAAAACUUUCUUUUUCUUUUUUUUUUUACUUUUAUGUCUAAAAUUUGUUAAGACGUAAACGUAUUUUUUUAUUAUGUGGUAUCAUACAUUCACAGUUUUAUGUUAA